UACGUAGGGGGCUAGCGUUGUCCGGAUUUAUUGGGCGUAAAGCGAGCGCAGGCGGUUUCUUAAGUCUGAUGUGAAAGCCCCCGGCUCAACUGGGGAGGGUCAUUGGAAACUGGGAAACUUGAGUACAGAAGAGGAAAGUGGAAUUCCAUGUGUAGCGGUGGAAUGCGUAGAUAUAUGGAGGAACACCAGUGGCGAAGGCGACUCUCUGGUCUGUAACUGACGCUGAGGCUCGAAAGCGUGGGUAGCAAACAGG
rnacentral:rRNA from 1 species